rnacentral:rRNA from 1 species
CAGUCGCCGCGGGAAUACGUAGGGUGCAAGCGUUAAUCGGAAUUACUGGGCGUAAAGCGUGCGCAGGCGGUCCGCUAAGACAGAUGUGAAAUCCCCGGGCUUAACCUGGGAACUGCAUUUGUGACUGGCGGGCUAGAGUAUGGCAGAGGGGGGUAGAAUUCCACGUGUAGCAGUGAAAUGCGUAGAGAUGUGGAGGAAUACCGAUGGCGAAGGCAGCCCCCUGGGCCAAUACUGACGCUCAUGCACGAAAGCGUGGGGAGCAAACAGGAUUAGAUACCCCUGUAGUCCCUGUCUCUUAUAC